GUAGAACUGAGUCUUUGGAAAAGACCCUGAUGCUGGGAAAGACUGAAGGCAGGAGGAGAAGGGGAUGGCAGAGGAUGAGAUGGUUGGAUAGCAUCACCGAUUCAGUGGACCUCCAUUUCAGUAAACUCCUGGUUGGUGAUGGACAAGGAAGUCUGGUGUGCUGCAGUCCAUGAGGUCACAAAGAGUCCGACAUGACUUAGUGACUGAACUGAACUGAUUGUUAUUACUCUUUAUUGCCUCUUCAUGAUGCCUAAAUCUUGUCUUUGUUCCCAAUAUUUUGAGCACUGACACAUGUAUCUAUUGGAUACAUCUAGUAGAUACCUGGAUGUUCUGUAGAUGUCUCAGCUCAUUAUUAUCUCCCCAACUUAUUAUUCUAAUGUUGCUUAUCUGAGCAAAUAUUAUCUUCAUGUGAAAUAUAGAAGUCAUCCUAGGCUCCUCGUUUUUAAUCAGUUAAUCCCAAAAAUUAAUUUCUCCCUAUUUUGACCCCCUUUAAGUUUUUUUCCCUCCUCUCACUCCUACCUAUAGGAGUCUCAUUUCUAGUAAGAGUGAAAUACUUAAUGAUAGGGACUCCCCUGGUAGUCCAGUGGUUAAAACUCCACACUUCCAAUGCAAGGGCCAUGAGUUCAGUCCCUGAUUAGGGAACUAAAAUGCCACAUGCCACAUGGGUGGGCAAAAAAAAGAAAUACUUAAGGAUAGUUCACUAUUAAACAAACAAACAAACAAACAAGAAUCCUGCUAUGUGCAAGGCAAUCAAUGACAAUCAUAAAAUGAAUAGUAUCCAAUCUCUUCCCUCAAGGAUCUCACAGUCUAAUUAGGAAAAGAGUAUAUUAAUAAUUUAACACCAAGUGGUGAGUGCUCUACAAGAAAUAUGUUAUAUAUUAAGGGAAGGCAGAAAUGGGAUUAUGGAGAGUGCGGUGAAGGAGGUAAUAGCAAAGAUCAGUCCCAUUCAACAGGCACUGAUACCUGGCUCUGUGCUAGCUAUUGGGGGCAUUUUUUCUAACCUGCAGAAUACCAUACUCCAUAGAAGAAGCUAUAAAUAUUUAUUUCAAUGAAAAUAGCUAAUACUAAGAUGGAGACACAGUGAUUUCUGGAAGCAUAAUCGAGGUCUGUAGUAUAAGAAUAAGACAUUUUAGAAAUGUCAGGAUCUUUAAUGAUUGUUCACAGCACUGCCUCUGCUUUAUCUGACACCUCUUGUCUUAUCUUACUGAAAAAACUUAUUUUUAAGGCUCACUUCAGAUGUUGUCUUCAGUUUGAGGCUGAUCGUGGCUUCCUUCCAGGCCACUUCUUUUUGUUGAUGUGCUACUGUGCUGUUCUUAGUCACUUCACUCAUACCCGAUUCUUUGAGACCUGUGAACCGCAGCCUGCCAGGCUCCUCUUUCCAUGAGACUUGCCAGAGUACAUUAUGAGAAACACCGGGCUGGAAGAAGCACAA